GUGCUCGUUUCAGCAGCACCCAUACUAAAAUCUGAACCAUACAGAGAUAAGAUGGCCCCUGUAGAAGGAUGAUGGACAAAUUUGUAAAAGUAAAUUUAUAUUGUU